GACGAACGCUGGCGGCGUGCUUAACACAUGCAAGUCGAACGGAAAGGCCCUGCUUUUGUGGGGUGCUCGAGUGGCGAACGGGUGAGUAACACGUGAGUAACCUGCCCUUGACUUUGGGAUAACUUCAGGAAACUGGGGCUAAUACCGGAUAGGAGCUCCUGCUGCAUGGUGGGGGUUGGAAAGUUUCGGCGGUUGGGGAUGGACUCGCGGCUUAUCAGCUUGUUGGUGGGGUAGUGGCUUACCAAGGCUUUGACGGGUAGCCGGCCUGAGAGGGUGACCGGCCACAUUGGGACUGAGAUACGGCCCAGACUCCUACGGGAGGCAGCAGUGGGGAAUAUUGCACAAUGGGCGGAAGCCUGAUGCAGCAACGCCGCGUGCGGGAUGACGGCCUUCGGGUUGUAAACCGCUUUCGCCUGUGACGAAGCGUGAGUGACGGUAAUGGGUAAAGAAGCACCGGCUAACUACGUGCCAGCAGCCGCGGUGAUACGUAGGGUGCGAGCGUUGUCCGGAUUUAUUGGGCGUAAAGGGCUCGUAGGUGGUUGAUCGCGUCGGAAGUGUAAUCUUGGGGCUUAACCCUGAGCGUGCUUUCGAUACGGGUUGACUUGAGGAAGGUAGGGGAGAAUGGAAUUCCUGGUGGAGCGGUGGAAUGCGCAGAUAUCAGGAGGAACACCAGUGGCGAAGGCGGUUCUCUGGGCCUUUCCUGACGCUGAGGGGCGAAAGCGUGGGGAGCGAACAGGCUUAGAUACCCUGGUAGUCCACGCUGUAAACGGUGGGUACUAGGUGUGGGGUCCAUUCCACGGGUUCCGUGCCGUAGCUAACGCUUUAAGUACCCCGCCUGGGGAGUACGGCCGCAAGGCUAAAACUCAAAGGAAUUGACGGGGCCCCGCACAAGCGGCGGAGCAUGCGGAUUAAUUCGAUGCAACGCGUAGAACCUUACCUGGGUUUGACAUGGAUCGGGAGUGCUCAGAGAUGGGUGUGCCUCUUUUGGGGUCGGUUCACAGGUGGUGCAUGGCUGUCGUCAGCUCGUGUCGUGAGAUGUUGGGUUAAGUCCCGCAACGAGCGCAACCCUUGUUCACUGUUGCCAGCACGUUAUGGUGGGGACUCAGUGGAGACCGCCGGGGUCAACUCGGAGGAAGGUGGGGAUGACGUCAAGACAUCAUGCCCCUUAUGUCCAGGGCUUCACGCAUGCUACAAUGGCUGGUACAGAGAGUGGCGAGCCUGUGAGGGUGAGCGAAUCUCGGAAAGCCGGUCUCAGUUCGGAUUGGGGUCUGCAACUCGACCUCAUGAAGUCGGAGUCGCUAGUAAUCGCAGAUCAGCAACGCUGCGGUGAAUACGUUCCCGGGGCU
rnacentral:rRNA from 1 species